rnacentral:rRNA from 1 species
AUGGUUAGGAGUGUACCGAUUGGUGAGAAGCUCUUCAUAGGAGGAGACCUCAAUGGCCACGUGGGUACAUCUAACACAGGUUUUGAAGGGGCGCAUGGGGGCUUUGGCUAUGGCAUCAGGAAUCAAGAAGGAAAAGAUGUCUUAAGCUUUGCUCUAGCCUACAACAUGAUUGUAGCUAACACCCUCUUUAGAAAGAGAGAAUCACAUCUGGUGACUUUUAGUAGUGGCCAACACUCUAGCCAGAUUGAUUUCAUCCUCUCGAGAAGAGAAGAUAGGCGUGCGUGCCUAGACUGUAAGGUGAUACCUGGGGAGAGUGUUGUACCCCAGCAUAAGCUGGUGGUUGCUAACUUCCGCUUUUGGAUUCGUGUCCAGCGGGAUAAGCGUGCCAAGGUCGCUAGAACGAAGUGGUGGAAGCUCAAGGGGGAGGUAGCUCAGGUGUUCAAGGAGAGGGUAUUUAAGGAGGGCCCUUGGGAGGAAGGAGGGGAUGCGGACAAUGUGUGGAUGAAGAUGGCGACUUGCAUUCGUAAGGUGGCCUCGGAGGAGUUUGGAGUGUCUAGGGGAAGGAGAAGCGAAGAUAAGGAUACCUGGUGGUGGAAUGAUGAUGUCCAGAAGGCGCUUAAAGAGAAGAAAGAUUGCUUCAGACGCCUAUACCUGGAUAGGAGUGCAGACAACAUAGAGAAGUACAAGAUGGCGAAGAAGGCCGCAAAGCGAGCUGCUGGUGAAGCAAGGGGUCGGGCAUAUGAGGACCUCUACCAACGGUUAGGCACGAAGGAAGGUGAAAGGGACAUCUAUAAGAUGGCUAAGAUCCGGGAGAGGAAGACGAGGGAUAUUGGCCAAGUCAAAUGCAUCAAGGACGGAGCAGGCCAACUCUUGGUGAAGGAUAAAGAGAUUAAGCAUAGAUGGCGGGAGUACUUCGACAAGCUGUUCAAUGGGGAGAAUGAGAGUUCUACCAUUGAACUGAAUGACUCCUUUGAUGAGACCAACAUGCGUUUUGUGUGGCGCAUCUAG